rnacentral:tRNA from 1 species
UCCCUGGUGGCUCAGAUGGUAAAGCGUCUGCCUACAACGCAGGAGACCCAGCUUCAAUCCCUAGGUGGGGAA